rnacentral:rRNA from 1 species
UUUAUGGAGAGUUUGAUCCUGGCUCAGGAUGAACGCUGGCGGCGUGCCUAAUACAUGCAAGUCGAGCGAACGGACGAGAAGCUUGCUUCUCUGAUGUUAGCGGCGGACGGGUGAGUAACACGUGGAUAACCUACCUAUAAGACUGGGAUAACUUCGGGAAACAGGAGCUAAUACCGGAUAAUAUUUUGAACCGCAUGGUUCAAAAGUGAAAGACGGUCUUGCUGUCACUUAUAGAUGGAUCCGCGCUGCAUUAGCUAGUUGGUAAGGUAACGGCUUACCAAGGCAACGAUGCAUAGCCGACCUGAGAGGGUGAUCGGCCACACUGGAACUGAGACACGGUCCAGACUCCUACGGGAGGCAGCAGUAGGGAAUCUUCCGCAAUGGGCGAAAGCCUGACGGAGCAACGCCGCGUGAGUGAUGAAGGUCUUCGGAUCGUAAAACUCUGUUAUUAGGGAAGAACAUAUGUGUAAGUAACUGUGCACAUCUUGACGGUACCUAAUCAGAAAGCCACGGCUAACUACGUGCCAGCAGCCGCGGUAAUACGUAGGUGGCAAGCGUUAUCCGGAAUUAUUGGGCGUAAAGCGCGCGUAGGCGGUUUUUUAAGUCUGAUGUGAAAGCCCACGGCUCAACCGUGGAGGGUCAUUGGAAACUGGAAAACUUGAGUGCAGAAGAGGAAAGUGGAAUUCCAUGUGUAGCGGUGAAAUGCGCAGAGAUAUGGAGGAACACCAGUGGCGAAGGCGACUUUCUGGUCUGUAACUGACGCUGAUGUGCGAAAGCGUGGGGAUCAAACAGGAUUAGAUACCCUGGUAGUCCACGCCGUAAACGAUGAG